UACGUAGGGGGCAAGCGUUGUCCGGAAUUAUUGGGCGUAAAGCGCGUGUAGGCGGCUCGGUAAGUCUGCUGUGAAAGUCCAAGGCUCAACCUUGGAAAGCCGGUGGAUACUGUCGAGCUCGAGUCCGGAAGAGGCGAGUGGAAUUCCUGGUGUAGCGGUGAAAUGCGCAGAUAUCAGGAGGAACACCAAUGGCGAAGGCAGCUCGCUGGGACGGUACUGACGCUGAGACGCGAAAGCGUGGGGGAGCAAACAGG
rnacentral:rRNA from 1 species